CUGCCCAAGAAGUUCAAGAGACUACUCUGCAGGGUUGCACUCGAAUGCACCUGCAGAAUAUUCCGGAACUUCUUCACACGCACAUAAGCACUUAAGAACAAAAACCAAAAACAUUGAUAAAAUACAAAAAACAAAAACACUAUAAAAACCUAAAUAAAACAAAAAAUGGCCUGCAUGCUACCUUGCAUGCUGCCGCCACCCCACCAGCUCUAUCCUCUGGAGCAUAGGGCAGCGGCACACCUAACGUUACUUUCAGGCCCGACGGUGAAGAUCAGAAGACUGAAGUCGACGAUACCCGCGCAGAGUCCUGGCAGAGACCCACACACUCGCCGCCCCAAGGUAAAGAAAACACAGAAGAACGGAACACUGAGGAACAGUCAGAAACAAAUACGACACCUCAAAAUCCGUGAAAGUCGCAAAGCCAGAAAGCCAAAGAAGAAGAAGACCACACGGAACGACCAGACGAAGGGAUUGCGCACAAAGAAUAAACAACAAUUGGAAGCCUGAACGCGGACCACUCACCCCCAGAAGCAGGGCCCAUAACUGAUGUCCCACACUUCAUGACCCCCAACCACUUCUCUCCCCAGUAGUAUUGUUAAAACACGGUACCGGCCGUUAACCGGGCUGCAAUGCAGUGCAUCAAAAUUGAUUUAUGGUUGUAAAAUUGGUUUGAAUUUGUCUCUAAUAAAGCCCCAUUGGUGCGCGCCACAAAUUAGACUGACGGCAGCAGGCACUUUCCUUCGUGAGAGUCCUGCAAAUUCAGCAACUAGCCAAAUGCCUCGUCAUCUAAUUAGUGACGCGUAUGAAUGGAUCAACAAGAUUCCUUCUGUCCCUAUCUACUAUCUAGCGAAACCACAGCCAAGGGAACGGGCUUGGCAAAAUCAGCGGGGAAAGAAGACCCUGUUGAGCUUGACUCUAGUCUGACUCUGUGAAGAGACAUGAAAGG
rnacentral:ncRNA from 1 species